GAAAAUUCCAAAUGGGCAACCCAGUUGCUUCUUUGCUUCUCCAUCCUACUUUCUUACUCAAAUAAUUUCUUCUAUUCACAGGAGCAACACAGAAAGAGAGAUUAGUAGUAGCAGUAGUUUUGGACUUCUGAUUAACUUAAGAAGCAUCAGUUCCUAAUCAGUUGGAGAUGGUGGUUAUGGAGUCUCUGCUUCUUGGGUCGUUUCCUAAGCCUUCUUCGGUCACUUCUGGUGGAAAUUGUUGGGAGAGUAAAAAUUUCAGAGUGGGUCACUCUCCAAGGGUAACCCGUUCUAUAGCAUCAGUCAGAGUUGCCAGGUGCAGAACAUGGAACGUCCUAGAAAGAUAUUAUGUUGCAAAGUUUCCGCUUCCUCGAAUGAACCAUCAUCUUAGAUGUAGUGUGGAAAGAUCUAACAUUUAUCAGAGAAAAAAGGGUGCCCAUUUCUUGGUGUAUACCGCCUCUGGACAGCCUCUUGAAUCUGAGUCAGAUGCUUAUAGUCCUAAGAUUACUUCAAAUUCUGUUCUCAAUGCAUUAGAUGCUUUCUACAGAUUUUCACGUCCUCAUACGGUUAUAGGCACAGCUUUGAGCAUCUUAUCGGUUUCUCUCCUUGCAGUAGAGAAACUCUCGGAUCUUUCUCCACUGUUCUUGACAGGUGUUUUGGAGGCAGUGGUUGCUGCCCUCAUGAUGAAUGUAUACAUAGUUGGUUUAAAUCAAUUAACUGACAUCGAAAUAGACAAGGUUAACAAGCCAUAUCUUCCAUUGGCAUCUGGAGAGUAUUCCAAGGGCAUUGGUGUUAUGAUUGUUGCAUCUUUCUCCAUAAUGAGCUUUUGGCUUGGAUGGGUUGUUGGUUCAUGGCCAUUGUUUUGGGCUCUUUUUGUCAGUUUUGUUCUUGGAACAGCAUAUUCAAUCAAUUUGCCAUUAUUGAGAUGGAAAAGGUUUGCAUUUGUUGCAGCAAUGUGCAUCUUAGUUGUCCGGGCAGUGAUCGUUCAACUUGCCUUUUAUCUGCACAUGCAGACCCACGUGUACAGAAGACCUACUGUCUUUUCCAGGCCUCUGAUUUUUGCAACUGCAUUCAUGUGCUUAUUCUCUGUUGUUAUAGCAUUAUUCAAGGAUAUACCUGAUAUUGAAGGGGAUAAGAUAUUUGGUAUCCGAUCCUUUACAGUGCGCUUGGGCCAAGAACGGGUUUUCUGGACCUGUAUUUCUCUGCUUGAAAUAGCUUAUGGUGUUGCUAUUUUAGUUGGAGCAGCUUCUUCCCACACCUGGAGCAAGUGUAUCACGGUUCUGGGGCAUGCCAUAUUGGCUUCAAUACUGUGGAACCGUGCUAAAGCUGUUGAUCUCAAGAGCAAAGCUGCUAUAACUUCAUGUUACAUGUUUAUUUGGAAGGUAACUUUCUGCCUCUUACUGAUUGACAGUAAAUAUUACAGGAAGUGUAAGUUGAUCAAAUUAAAUAAUUAAAAUGAAUAAAAUGACCCGAUGAUAUUGAAGUACUUAUGCCAUCAUCUUGCAUUCACAUGGACUACCAUGUUUACAUCAAUCAUUAACCACUUACUUUCUAGUUUUGUAAAGAUAUCCAUUUUUUUACACACAAAGUAGAUUAACCUUUUUUGUUUUUAUUAUUUUAUUUUCUUGUUCAAUAAGAUUUAAAUUUAAGAAUGUAAAGGUUACCAAAGCUUGCUCAUUUUUCACUGGAGCUGGAUCAAGUUCAAACAGAAAUAUGGGCGCCAAACUCACUAUUCUCUUUUAUGCAGAAUACUUGCUCAUACCACUCGUAAGAUGAGCAUGCAAAGCAUUGUGGAGAGAAGGAAACUGCAGCCGUCUCUAAAAAUGGAGUAUUCUACUGAAACAUUAAUGCCUAGAAAGAGGAUACUAUGGUUUGCUUGCAAGUUCUGUAUGCCUAUCAUUUAUCUCGAACAAUUGUAAUGCUGGGAGAAAAAAAUGCAAUUACUAUGUAAUGGCAUUGUAUUAGUACACAAUUUAUUAUUUGCAUUUAUAUCUCGUGAUAUAAACUGGAAAAAGUUAAGAAGAAACACAGAAAUAGGAAGAGAAAACCAGAGAAAGAGAAACUAAAUGAGAGAGGAAGAAUCAAUUUCUGAAUUAUUAUUCCAUAAUAAAUAGAAAGGAAUACAGUUCUAGUGUAGAGACAAGGAGGAGAACAUAUUCAACACACAGCUCGUGCAAAGGAAAGACCAGGGCCACCAUU
rnacentral:misc_RNA from 1 species